UUUCUUAUGAUGAUUUUUAUUUGACUUUCGUUCUUCUGAGACUACUGAAGACGUAUAACCUAUCUGAAGAAA